rnacentral:siRNA from 1 species
AGAAAUAAGUGUGUGUUGGGCA